CUCUUGCUGGAGAUCCCUGCCUACCUGAGGCCUUUCAAAGUACUGAGCCAGGAUUCUUCCAUGGUGUGAGAAGGCAAUCUGCAGUUCUGUCUCAGCACUGCAGGUUCCCGCAGGGCUGGAAGCUCCAGUUCGGUAGGUAAGGCUGCCAUCUGGUGGGGUCCUUCUGCACAGCACCCUGUCUUGCCAAGGGGACAAGGGGCAGCAGCCCUGAGACCUCGAGGGCUCUCACCCUCCUCUGAUGACCUCUGAGAAAUAAUAUUGAGAGAUGUUUCAAUACUAAAGCAAAAAUCAAUAGGAUGGAUGCUUUUAAGUGGUUUGAGAAACCUGCUUGUCACCUCCUAGCCCCAGUGCUGCAGUGGCACUCUUCCCAUGGAGAGCCUGUUUGGGGGAAGGGCUCCUUGCUGUGAUGGUGUCACACAGUGCCUGUGUCCACCAGCUGCUGCUUGAAGGAUGAAAUGACAACAUGUAUUUAAUGUUCCCUAUAUGCUCACUAGGCAGCUGGGCACCCACCCAUCCACUGGCAGAUUGGCUGUUAGCUUGGGGUGUACUCAUGGUAUCAGUGCAGAAAAACUGUAGGAAUGCCCUCACUAAAGAGAUGCUGCUAGUUCCCCUCCUGGAAAUUGCAGCAACGGCCAACAAUACAUCACUGCCUUUAGCCUGGAGCCUAGCGUAUCACUGUAUCGGGUAAGUUGCAUCAAAUAUAUUAAUGUAUGAAUUCAGACUGCGUGCAUUGUGCUAAAUCUUAAGUAAAAGAGAAUACACUGAGGUUAGACAACAAAGAAAUUAUUUACUGUGAGGUUGUGAGGCAUUGGCACAGGCUGCCCAGAGAAGCUGUGGGUUUUCCAUCUCUGGAGGUGCUCAAGGCCAGGUCAGAUGGGCCUUUAGCAAACUGGUCAGGUGGAUCUACCCCUGCCAUGGCUGACGGAUUGGUGCUAGAUGGUCUUCAGGGUCCCUUCCAACCCAAACCACUCUGUGAC